rnacentral:rRNA from 1 species
UACGGGGGGGGCAAGCGUUGUUCGGAAUUACUGGGCGUAAAGGGCUCGUAGGCGGCCAACUAAGUCAGACGUGAAAUCCCUCGGCUUAACCGGGGAACUGCGUCUGAUACUGGAUGGCUUGAGUUCGGGAGAGGGAUGUGGAAUUCCAGGUGUAGCGGUGAAAUGCGUAGAUAUCUGGAGGAACACCGGUGGCGAAGGCGC